AUUCCAGCUCCAGUAGCGUAUGCUAACGUUGUUGCGGUUAAAAAGCUCGUAGUUGGAUUUCUGGUUCGGCGUUCCUGGUCCUCGGCCCCAAGUUGGGCCGUGAGUACCGGUUGUGACGCUAGCCAUCCUUCGGGAGAGCGUGCGCGGUGCUUAACGGCGCUGCGCCGCCAUCUCGGUCCUUUACUUUGAACAAAUUAGAGUGUUUAAAGCAGGCGAAUGCCUUGAAUACCUUAGCAUGGAAUAAUAAGAUAGGACUUUUGGCCUAUUUUGUUGGUCUUUAGGACAAGAGUAAUGAUUGAUAGGGACAGUUGGGGGUGCUAGUAUUGAAUGGCCAGAGGUGAAAUUCUUGGAUUCAUUCAAGACUAACUAAUGCGAAAGCAUUCACCAAGGAUGUCUUCAUUA
rnacentral:rRNA from 1 species